UCCUCUCCGGUCUUUCCGAUAAAAUUCACAAUCAGAAUUUAGGGUUCCUUCACAAAUCCUCUAUAAAUUUCAACCGAAUCGCACCUUUAGAAUUAUCUUCCGUCCGUCCUGAGAUUAUCUCCUUCUUCUUUAACUUUAAUUUCCGAUUUGUUUUGAUUUUCAUUGUCUUCUCCUUCAAUAGAAGCGAAAUGCGUUUGAUAUCUUGAAUCGUUUAUUUUCUCUCUCUUUAAAAAUUUCGAUGAAAUGGGUUGGUUAUUCUGAAUUGGCUCUAUCAUCGAGUCAGCAGCAGGCGCCGUUUUAAUGGCGAUCCGUCUGCCGCAUGGAGCCGAUAUUUUGUUACCGGAGGAAGAUCCUUGAAACUUAAUAGUUUUAAGAUACAAUGCCCGGUCGACAUUUUUUAAAAUUUCUAAUCCCAUUAUCUGCAAUUAGGUCUUUGUAGGGUUUUUGAAUUAGAGUUUGAAUUGGCAUUAAAAUCAGACACGGGUGUUUGUUCAUUAAUCUUACAACAAACAACCUUUUGCACGGUGCCUAUAUUGAGCUACUGAACACGAUUGGGGGAAUCUAUUAUUGUUUUAUAUGUCUCAGAAAACGCUUUUUCAUUUGUUGGAACAAUCCGGAUGAGAGACUAAUCGUGGGUUUCUUGCCUAUCAUCUGUCACGGUUGGCAUAGGGAUAAUUCGUUUUCGUUAUCACUGUUUCUUAAUGUUUGAUUUCAUUUGGGCAAAGAAAAAACUGUGAUGGUUUAAGAGUUCUGAAAAGCCUCAGUUGGCAAAGGUUUGAAAUUUGAUCUUUCAUAUCCUUUGUAACCA